rnacentral:rRNA from 1 species
GAUGAACGCUGGCGGCGUGCUUAACACAUGCAAGUCGAACGGCAAGGCCCUGCUUUUGUGGGGUGCUCGGGUGCGGAACGCGUGAGUAACACGUGAGUAACCUGCCCUUGACUUUGGGAUAACUUCAGGAAACUGGGGCUACUACAGGAUAGGAGACCCCGCUGCAUGGUGGGGGUUGGAAAGUUUCGGCGGUUGGGGAUGGACUGGCGGCUUAUCAGCUUGUUGGUGGGGUAGUGGCUGACCAAGCCUUUGACGGGUAGCCGGCCUGAGUGGGUGACCGGCCACAUUGGGACUGAGGGACGGCCCAGACUGCUACGGGAGGCAGCAGUGGGGAAUAUUGCACAAUGGGCGGAAGCCUGAUGCAGCAGCGCCGCGUGCGGGAUAGCGGCCUUCUUGUUGUAAACCGCUUUCGCCUGUAACGAAGCGUGAGUGACGGUAAUGGGUAAAGAAGCACCGGCUAACUACGUG